rnacentral:rRNA from 1 species
GGGCCCGCACAAGCGGUGGAGCAUGUGGUUUAAUUCGAUGCAACGCGAAGAACCUUACCAGGGUUUGACAUAGUACGAAGUUUUUUGAAAAAAAACCACCUUCGGGAACGUACAUACAGGUGGUGCAUGGCUGUCGUCAGCUCGUGUCGUGAGAUGUUGGGUUAAGUCCCGUAACUAGCAUAACCCCUGUUUUUAGUUGCCUUUAAUGGAACUCUAAAAUACUGCCGGUUAUAAAUCGGAGGAAGGAGGGGACGACGUCAAGUCAGCAUGCCCCUUACACCCUGGGCUACACACUUGUUACAUUGGGGAAUACAGACGGACGCUAAGCCGCGAGGUGGUGCUAAUCCUAGAAAGUUCUUCGUAGUCCGGAUUGGAGUCUGCAACUCGACUCCAUGAAGUCGGAAUC